rnacentral:rRNA from 1 species
AAAACCGCAUUCAAAACAAAAUUUGGUUCAUAUGAGUGGUUAGUUAUGCCUAUGGGUUUAUCGGAGGCUCCCAGUACUUUCAUGCGUCUCAUGCAUCAUAUACUUCACCCUUACAUUGGAGUCUUUGUUGUGGUUUACUUCGAUGAUAUUCUUGUGUCUAGCAAAACCAUGAAAGAGCAUCUUGAUCAUGUUACGGCCGUUUUGCAAACACUUUGCAAGGAAAGUCUUUAUGCCAACAUGAAAAAGUGCACAUUUGGUGUUGACAAAGUGGUUUUCUUGGGUUUCGUUGUAUCUUCCAAGGGUGUCCAUGUUGAUGAAACUAAAAUUGAAGCAAUUAAAACAUGGCCCCAACCCACCAAUUUGCAACAAGUGCGUAGUUUUCUUGGUCUUGCGGGUUUUUAUCGUCACUUUGUGAAAGACUUUAGCACUAUUGCCGCUCCUUUGCAUGCUUUGAGUAAGAAGAAUGCUCCUUUUGUUUGGGGAUCUUUGCAAUCCACCACUUUUGAUGAGCUCAAGUCUUUGCUUACUCAUGCC